rnacentral:lncRNA from 1 species
CUCGUCAAACAUCACACAUUCAUCUCAGUACAUAAAUAGAGGAGCAGAAGUUAAGGUGGUGUUGGGUUUGUGGUAAUGAUGCCGGUAUUAUGACUCGAGAAGGCAGAAGACCGGUGUAUGCCGUCAGGCACACGUGUUCCAUCGGAAUUGUAAUUUUAUUUAUUAUUCUAUCGUUUAAUUUUUGAGUCGAGGAGCGCGGCCAUGGCUGAAACUGAGGACUUCCUGGCAUGGCUGCAGGCUCAAGGUCUGAGAGCAGAGACUGCAUUUGGUGUGAUUACUGAACUGGGCAUUGAGAGUCAAACGGUGCUUCGUAUCUGCACAGAGUCUGCUUUGUUGAGAUCUGAACUAUACUCACUCCUCAAGGAGAAGUUUGCCUUUGCCAUGUACGCUGAGGUUCGGUGUUUUGUGGAGUCACAGUAUCAUUGCCAAGGUCAUGGUCUUGCAAAUUUGGUACUGGUGGAUGUCCUGUGCUCCAUGUUGAAUGCUGUCAGCCAGGAGUUCACUAACUGUGCGCAGAGGUUAAGGUACUUGGGCCUUCACUCAGAUGAUGCCGAUAGUGAUGGCUUGGAGCAAAAGAGUACUGCUGAGAACUUUAGCAGUACGAGUGAGAACAUCUGCACCUUUCAUCCUCAACAGGAGAUGAGUGUGACAUCUGAACCCAGUAUGGUAGAGAUGAAGAUUGAACAUGAAGAUGAUGAAGGGCUCUGUGGAGAGAUGCAGCUCGAGGUCGAAGGAACAAACGGUUCAACUUGUACCUCAAAAGGCAAGCUCUUUGCUUUUGUACAACAUUAUUCUUCUGACAUUGUAUAACAUGGCAGAAAAACUGUGUUUAUAAUCCAUUAAUUAUUUUUGC